rnacentral:rRNA from 1 species
AGAACGAACGCUGGCGGCGUGGAUAAGACAUGCAAGUCGAACGCGACUUAUUUUGUUAGCAAUAACAGAGUAAGUUGAGUGGCGAAAGGGUGCGUAACACGUGGGAAUUUACCAAGAAGUGGGGAAUAGCUCGACGAAAGUCGAAUUAAUACCGCAUAUGAUCGCAAGAUCAAAGCCGGGGACCGCAAGGCCUGGCGCUUUUUGAGAAGCCCGCGGCCCAUCAGCUAGUUGGCGAGGUAAAAGCUCACCAAGGCUAUGACGGGUAGCUGGUCUGAGAGGACGACCAGCCACACUGGAACUGAGACACGGUCCAGACACCUACGGGUGGCAGCAGUCGAGAAUUUUUCACAAUGGACGAAAGUCUGAUGGAGCGACGCCGCGUGGAGGAUGAAGGUUUUCGGAUUGUAAACUCCUGUCACUGCAGACAAGGAUGUGUGUAUGAAUAGUACAUGCAUUUGAUGGUAUGCGGAGGAGGAAGGGACGG